UACGUAGGGUGCGAGCGUUAAUCGGAAUUACUGGGCGUAAAGCGUGCGCAGGCGGUUCGUUAAGUUCGUUGUGAAAGCCCCGGGCUCAACCUGGGAACUGCAAUGGAAACUGGCGGGCUUGAGUGUGGCAGAGGGGGGUGGAAUUCCGCGUGUAGCAGUGAAAUGCGUAGAGAUGCGGAGGAACACCGAUGGCGAAGGCAGCUCGCUGGGACGGUACUGACGCUGAGACGCGAAAGCGUGGGGAGCAAACAGG
rnacentral:rRNA from 1 species